ensembl:lncRNA
AGUAACUUGCCUAAGAUUUCAUCACACAGCACGUCAGGGGCAAGGUUGAAAUCAAAGCCCUAUUUUAGCUACAAGGAACUACAAGAAAAUGAUUCCAAGGGCAAGAUUCAAUUUUAUUAUAAAUUUAAUGCUAUAAACUUGGCAUCUCUGAAUAAAGACUUCAGUACCUCUUCCUGCCCAAGGUCACUUUUCAGCCCAAGGUGGACCUAUUUAAAUACAUCUACAGCACCUAGCACACAAAAGAAUCAAGGUAAGUGCUCCUGUGCAAUUAGUUCACCUUUCCAGUUGCUAACAUUCUCUAAUUUGUUAAACAUGAUGACUCUCUCUUCAAUGAUUAAUGCUAGAGACAUAAUACCAAUUCUUUGAUUCUUCUUUUGCAAUUUAGUAUUGACCAAAACUUUUCAAUGCUUAUUUUUAUACCAUGUAUAGAGUUUCCAAGAUACAGCUUGUCUCAUGUGUUGCAUUUUAUUAUCUCAUUGUUUUCUUAGAAAAGACUUGCACAUGAAUUGUACUUAGAACUUCCAUAAUUUACAAUGUAGCGUGUAUAUUCUAUAGAGAACUUCUAUAGAUAAUUAACCCCACCUUGUGUUCUCUCCCUCCCCUUCCUUCCUUUCUUCUUCCAUCAGUUCUCUAGCUUUCAUUUUAGGAGUGGCACUAGAAUUCUGUCUCAGAUUUGCAGAAUGGGGUGGGCUGGGAUUAAAGCUGUUUUAGUUUCAGAACCCGUAUCCCUCUAUAAACUAGAAAAUUGGCAAAAUUAUAAACACUGUUAUACUUUUUAUUAAUAAUGAUACCUUCCUGGGUAAACUAGCGCACAUACUGAACUACAGAAGUAGAAAAUUCUACUGGAAUUUUAGCUAUCAUUUGCAUUAAUUGUUAAGGAUUAUUUAUAGAUUCUUCAAAGCAAAAUAAAACAGACUUUCCAAAAUUUGCCUGCAGAGCAAUGGACAUAAAACAUGAAUUCAAAUAAUUCACCACCUCUGGGCCAAGCUUCUGCAGAGCCAGUAUGUAGAUGGUCACUCCAAUGAACACUCUGGUUACUUAUUGAAAUCAAGAAUCUUUUCUGUUCUAUCAGGGAAUGCAGUACCAAAUCCAAGGUUAGCACUGGACCUCAUUUUGGGGGUAGAGGUUAAGUAAUGCAAAGCACCCACAGAAUGGCCAGAGGCCAAGGGCAGGGCUUGUGACUCCAGAACACGCUAGCAUCAGCACAAGGUGAGAUUAAGUUUUUAAAGGGCCAUUAAAAGUAUUAAUUAUUAAAAGUGGUAAAAGUGGGGAAAUAUAAAGAGAAGUUUCAAGGAUGACCAGUGAAAAUCCUGUUUUAAAGGACUUGCUGAGCAAACAGCCUAUCUUGGAAAGAAGGUGUAGGAAAAGUUAAAAGAAACACAUUUGAGACUUUUUGUGAAAGUGUUUAACUGUUUGUUUCUAAAAUGGUAACAUUAAAAAUGGCUGAAUCUUGACUUGAAUGACUUUUUUUAUUUUUAUUUUUUGAGAUGGAGUCUUGCUGUCCCCCAGGCUGGAGUGCCAUGGCAUGAUCUUGGCUCACUGCAACCUCUGCCUCCCGAGUUCAAGCGAUUCUCCUGCCUCAGCCUCCCCAGUGGCUGGGAUUACAGGCACAUGCCACCAUGUCCAGCUAAUUUUUUGUAUUUUUCUUAGAGACAGGGUUUCACCAUGUUGGCCAGGCUGUUCUUGAACUCCUGACCUCAAGUGAUCCACCUGCCUCAGCCUCCCAAAGUGCUGGGAUUAUAGGCGUGAGCUACUGUGCCUGGCCAACCUGAAUGACUUUUAACAAGAAGAAUAAACAUAUGCAAAUAAAAUGUCUGGAAGGGCAUACACCAAAAUAGUAAUUGUAGUUGGUCCCUGAGAGGUAAUACUAUUGCAUUUUUUUUUUUUUUUUUUUUUUUGGAAACAGAGUUUCACUGUGUUGCUUAGGCUGGAGUGCAGCAGCACGAUCUCAGCUCACUGCAACCUCCGCCUCCCAGGUUCAAGCGAUUCUUCUGCCUCAGCCUCCUAAGUAGCUGAGAUUUCAGGCACCCACCA